GCGGGUGGCAGCAGUGCGCACAAGCUUCCGGGCCAGCCGAUACUGUUGCCAGUGCAAAGCUCCUCUCUACACCUGAGCGGGGGACAGAUGUGCAUCAAUAUUUAUUCGGAACUCCCAGGAAACCUGGAUGAAGUGUAAUUAUCUCAGCUCAAUCAGCUUGGAUUAGCAUAACAUCAAGUCAGCCAUCAGAUGGAGAGUUUGAUUUCGGGGAUCAAAGCGCCGCGCUGUAUCCGCUGAUUAAUCCGGGAGAAGAGAGCGGAAAAUGGCAGGGUAGCAUUUCCCUGUCCACUUGGAGUUCACUGUGCCAUGUGACUGGAUUUGGACAAUGUAAUAGAAACAGAUUUGCAGCUCUCCUCGAGGACACAGAGAAGCGUUUUCCACGCUCCUGCCUCUGCCGGAAAAGUCUGUCCGGACCUCUCCGCUCCAGCGGCCCACAGCACGAAGACUUCUCGGCUGAAGGAGGAGCUGUCGCUCCCUUGCACCAUAUCCCCUGUGGGCACUUUGAAAGAUUGGAUUUUAACGGAAUAAAGAUCCCUGACAUGA